rnacentral:rRNA from 1 species
UGGGGAAUAUUGGGCAAUGGGCGAAAGCCUGACCCAGCAACGCCGCGUGAAGGAAGAAGGUUUUCGGAUUGUAAACUUCUGUCCUCAGGGAAGAAAAAAAUGACGGUACCUGGGGAGGAAGCUCCGGCUAACUACGUGCCAGCAGCCGCGGUAAUACGUAGGGGGCGAGCGUUGUCCGGAAUGACUGGGCGUAAAGGGCGCUUAGACGGUUUUUUACGUCUGGAGUGAAAGUCCUGCUUUCAAGUUGGGAAUUGCUUUGGAGACUGGAAGACUUGAGUGCGGAAGAGGUAAGUGGAAUUCCCAGUGUAGCGGUGAAAUGCGGAGAGAUUGGGAAGAACACCAGUGGCGAAGGCGACUUACUGGGCCGUAACUGACGUUGAGGCGCGAAAGCGUGGGGAGCGAACA